AGUAGGGAAUCUUCCACAAUGGGCGAAAGCCUGAUGGAGCAACGCCGCGUGAGUGAAGAAGGUUUUCGGAUCGUAAAACUCUGUUGUAAGGGAAGAACAAGUACAGUAGUAACUGGCUGUACCUUGACGGUACCUUAUUAGAAAGCCACGGCUAACUACGUGCCAGCAGCCGCGGUAAUACGUAGGUGGCAAGCGUUGUCCGGAAUUAUUGGGCGUAAAGCGCGCGCAGGCGGUCCUUUAAGUCUGAUGUGAAAGCCCACGGCUCAACCGUGGAGGGUCAUUGGAAACUGGGGGACUUGAGUGCAGAAGAGGAAGGUGGAAUUCCAAGUGUAGCGGUGAAAUGCGUAGAGAUUUGGAGGAACACCAGUGGCGAAGGCGACUUUCUGGUCUGUAACUGACGCUGAGGCGCGAAAGCGUGGGGAGCAAACAGGAUUAGAUACCCUGGUAGUCCACGCCGUAAACGAUGAGUGCUAAGUGUUAGGGGGUUUCCGCCCCUUAGUGCUGCAGCUAACGCAUUAAGCACUCCGCCUGGGGAGUACGGUCGCAAGACUGAAACUCAAAGGAAUUGACGGGGGCCCGCACAAGCGGUGGA
rnacentral:rRNA from 1 species